AUUGAACGCUGGCGGCAGGCUUAACACAUGCAAGUCGAGCGGGGAAAGGUAGCUUGCUACUGGACCUAGCGGCGGACGGGUGAGUAAUGCUAGGAAUCUGCCUAUUAGUGGGGGACAACAUCUCGAAAGGGAUGCUAAUACCGCAUACGUCCUACGGGAGAAAGCAGGGGAUCUUCGGACCUUGCGCUAAUAGAUGAGCCUAAGUCGGAUUAGCUAGUUGGUGGGGUAAAGGCCUACCAAGGCGACGAUCUGUAGCGGGUCUGAGAGGAUGAUCCGCCACACUGGGACUGAGACACGGCCCAGACUCCUACGGGAGGCAGCAGUGGGGAAUAUUGGACAAUGGGGGGAACCCUGAUCCAGCCAUGCCGCGUGUGUGAAGAAGGCCUUAUGGUUGUAAAGCACUUUAAGCGAGGAGGAGGCUACUUUAGUUAAUACCUAGAGAUAGUGGACGUUACUCGCAGAAUAAGCACCGGCUAACUCUGUGCCAGCCGCCGCCGUAA
rnacentral:rRNA from 1 species